rnacentral:lncRNA from 1 species
GAAAAUCCAACAUUUUGUUGGAUAAUCCCACUAACUCUUAGUGGGAUAUGUGGCUAUAUGAGAUAUAGACACCUAGCCCACUAAGUUCCACUAAUUGUUAGUGGAACAUUAGGUGUUGAGAUUUGGCAAAUGAAUUGCAUGCAUUUUUGCAUGCAAUUAGGCUAUAAAUAGAGGUGUUUUCAAAUGUUGAAGGACUUUUGCCUCUUUUAUCAUUUUCAUCAUCUCAACAAAAGAAAAAAAAACUUCCAAUCUCAUUUUAUCUCCAUUAUUUUCUACACCAAAAUUGGGUCCCACAACCCGGUUCUUUGUCUAGAGGAUAGCAGUUGAGUACUAGUGGUGGUCUCGGGUAGAAUUGGUAAGAAGACAUCAAACCUUUUGAAAGCUUCAAAGGUAAUACUUCUUAAAACCCUAAUUUGAUUAGUUUAUGGUUACAUGUUAAUUGUGGCAAUUAGGGUAGAAAUUCGAUUCUUUUUCCGCUGUGCAUGACUUAGUUCUAUCAUGUGGUAUCAGAGCAUGCUUCAUUUUUACCCAAUUGCAUGUGGUGGGUUCAUAUUUAUUAGAUAAAUUUUGGUUUGAACUAAAAUGGAUAUAUUAUGAUUUUGGCUCUAGAUUAAGUGUUUUUGUUCUAAUUAUUGUAAUUAGCCUUGUUAAUGGCUUAUUUUUAUUGUUGCAAAGUGUUUGUAAUUUUUUAAAAAAUAAAAAAAGUCAUUAGAGUUGAAGCUAGGCUGUAAUUGGUUCAACCGGGUGAGAGAAUUGAAAAAAAUGAAGAAAAGAAGGUCACAGACCCGAAAACCCGGCCUUGACCCGCUUCGCGACCCGCACCGCGCCCGCGCGCCCUCCUGCGUCCGCACGCCCGCCGCCCGCCGCGCCUGCGCCCGCGCGCCGCAUGCGCCCGCGCGCCCCUGCGCCCGCCUGCCGCCGACCCGUGUGCGCCUGGGCCGGUUCAAGCCAAUAAAUUUGGGCCGGUUCAAGCGGUUUCGGUUGGUUUUUCAGCCGGUUCGAAGUUUUUGGGAGUGGUUCUGUACUACACCAAAUUAAUUAUGUAAUAAUUUAGUACUUAGCUUAAUUUAGGAGCCAAAAAUCAGUCCAUUUUAGGGUGUUUUUUUUUAUUUAUGCAUGUGAUGUAUGAUUAAAUUACUUUAAAUUUGUAUGUGCAUUUUGAAUGUCAUAUAGAUUUAAAAUCCCACCAUAGGUUAACAUGUUCAUGCAUUAAAAUGUAUGAUAUAAAGGUUAUAUUGUAUUGUAUGCAUGUUAAUUGAUUAAUAUGGAAAUUAAUUAAUAUGAUUAAUUAAUUAUUUAAUUAAUUAAGUUAUUCUUGAUUAAAUAUGAUUUAAUCAAAUUAAUUAAUUAUUGUUUGAUUUAAUUUAAUUAAAGUUAAAUAAAUUAAAAUCCAUAUUAAUUGAUUGUUUUUAUUAUAUAUUGAUAAAAUGAUUGAUUAAGUUUAAAAGUUUUUAUAAGUGUUAUAAAAUAAAUUAGACUUUUAAAAUCAAUAACAAAGAUUAAAUGCAUGCUCACUUAGGUUAAACAUAUCUUCCAUUUUUCAUAGAAAUAGGUCGAUAUCUUGUAAAACUGGUUACAAAAGGCUCACCUGGUUCAAUCUUGUCAACAAGUCAGAUAAGAUGACUAAGGUUGGAGGUUCUUAAGUUGACGGUUUACGGAACACCUCCUACCUGGAGAUCGUAAUCAGUUCUUGAGCCUAGUUAACCUAGUUUUAUGAGCAUUCGUGAGAGGUGUGAGGUAAUAAAAAUGGUUUUUCACCUAGACAUCAUAGGUUAAAAUCCUGUAUAAUGGUUAUACUUGGAUGUUUUAUCUAGACUUAAGAUUUGUUUAAGUUAGCCUAAAUAUAAAUCUUGAAGCUUGGAUUACCCUAUUUUUUUCUUUAGAACACUUCAACUAGAGAAAAAUAAUGUAUUUUAGCUCUAGUGUCCCUAAGAGUUCACACCGUGAGGUCCAUGCAGGGCUUUGUGCCGUGCAUAGGAGCGGCCUCCCUUCGGAGAGUGUUUGCAUGGAUCAAAAUCAAGGUGAAUAGGGGAAGUAGUUCAUAGUAAGUGGGUGAGGGAUUUGUGGCAGCACAUCCCACGGUCUCUUCCAUUAGGUCGCACCGUGAGAUUUCUAUAAUAUGCCUGCUUGUCUGCCCUGGAGCGACGUUCCCUUCGGAGGGUUGUAUUAUAGGAUUCGGAACACCGCGAACUCCAAAUCUGGAUAGGUUUUCUUAGAUUAGUUUUCAUAAAUGAUUCUAAUCUAUGAAAUCUGAAAAUGGUGGGUAACACUUACAAGAAUUACUAAGUUGUUAGUAUAUUCUUGACUAAAGUAGCGAUAACUAAGUGCUAUAAAGAAUAAAGAGUUAUUCUAGAGAUAGCAUCUAGUCAAGAUUGUCUUGGUUCAAAGGAGGAAUAAUCAACUACCCUUCGGAGAAGGUUGUUCUAAACCUUUGAAAUAUUGUUGCAAAAUACAAAUAAUGAAAGGGUACAUUAUUAGUAAUUGCUAAAUUAGAUUGGAUAUUUUUUAUGAUUAUAGUUUUUUCCUAAAAAGAAUAUGUUUGUUUUUCAGCAUGAAUAGCUCAAUAGUUCAACUUUUAGCUUCCGAAAAACUUAAUGGCGAUAAUUAUGCGGCUUGGAAAUCAAAUCUUAACACAAUACUAGUGGUUGACGAUUUAAGAUUUGUCUUAACUGAGGAAUGUCCUCAAAACCCUGCCUCUAAUGCUAACCGAACUAGUCGGGAUGCAUAUGAUCGAUGGAUAAAAGCUAAUGAAAAAGCCCGUGUCUACAUUCUUGCCAGCAUGUCUGAUGUAUUGGCAAAGAAACAUGAAUCCUUAGCCACGGCUAAAGAGAUUAUGGAUUCAUUAAGGGGAAUGUUUGGGCAACCAGAAUGUCCUUAAGACACGAGGCAGUCAAAUACAUUUACACUAAGCGUAUGAAGGAAGGGACCUCUGUUAGAGAACAUGUUCUGGACAUGAUGAUGCACUUCAACAUCGCUGAAGUGAAUGGUGGUCCCAUCGAAGAGGUUAAUCAAGUUAGUUUUAUCUUAGAGUCUCUUCCGAAGAGCUUCAUUCCAUUCCAAACGAAUGCGUCUUUGAACAAGAUAGAAUUUAACUUGACAACCCUUCUGAAUGAACUCCAGCGAUUCCAAAACCUUACUAUGGGUAAAGGAAAACAAGUGGAAGCAAAUGUUGCUACCACAAAAAGAAAAUUUAUAAGAGGAUCGUCCUCUAAAACCAAAGCUGGACCCUCAAAACCUAAUGCUCAAAUAAAAAAGAAGGGAAAGGGAAAGACUCCCAAACAGAACAAGGGUAAGAAAGGUGCAGAAAAAGGUAAGUGUUACCAUUGUGGCCAAAACGGGCACUGGUUAAGAAACUGCCCAAAAUACCUUGCAGAAAAAAAGGCAGAGAAGGAAACACAAGGUAAAUAUGAUUUACUAGUUGUAGAAACAUGUUUAGUGGAAUAUGAAAAUUGUACCUGGAUACUAGAUUCAGGAGCCACUAACCAUAUUUGCUUCUCAUUUCAGGAAAAUAGUUCUUGAAAAAGCUUUCAGAAGGCGAGAUCACUCUCAAGGUUGGAACAGGAGAGAUGGUCUCACUUCAGCAGUGGGAGAUUUAAAGUUGUUUUUUAGAGAUAGAUAUGUCAUACUUAAGAAUGUCUUAUAUGUACCUCAAAUGAAAAGAAAUUUAAUAUCUAUCUCUUGUAUUUUGGAACAAAUGUAUAGAAUAUCUUUUGAAAUUAAUGAAGCGUUCGUUUUCUAUAAAGGUAUUCUAGUUUGUUCUGCUAUACUUGAAGACAACUUAUAUAAGUUAAGACCAACCAGAGCAAAUUUUGUCUUAAAUACUGAAAUAUUCAGAACAGCUGAAACUCAGAAUAAAAGACAAAAAGUUUCUUCUAAUGCCUAUUUAUGGCACUUAAGACUUGGUCACAUAAAUCUCAAUAGGAUUGGGAGAUUAGUUAAAAGUGGGCUUCUAAUCAGUUAGAAAAUAAUACUUUACCUCUUGUGAAUCUUGUCUUGAAGGAAAAAUGACCAAGAGAUCUUUUACUGGAAAAGGUCUAAGAGCCAAAAGACCCUUAGAGCUCGUACAUUCGGACCUUUGUGGACCAAUGAAUGUCAAAGCUCGAGGUGGAUAUGAAUAUUUCAUUAGCUUCAUUGAUGAUUAUUCAAGGUAUGGUCAUAUUUACCUAAUACAUCAUAAGUCUAAUAGUCUUGAAAAGUUCAAAGAAUAUAAGGCUGAAGUAGAAAACGAAUUAGGUAAAACAAUAAAAAUACUUCGAUCAGAUCGAGGUGGAGAGUAUAUGGACUUACGAUUCCGAGACUAUUUAAUAGAAAAUGGAAUCCAGUCACAACUCUCUGCACCUAGUACACCUCAACAGAACGGUGUAUCAGAAAGAAGAAACGGACCUUGUUAGACAUGGUUCGCUCUAUGAUGAGUUUUUCUCAGAUGUCAGAUUCUUUUUGGGGAUAUGCUUUAGAAACAGCUGCUUAUAUUUUGAAUAAUGUUCCCUCUAAAAGUGUUUCAGAAACACCUUAUGAGCUAUGGAAAGGGCGUAAAGGAAGUUUACGUCAUUUUAGAAUUUGGGGUUGUCCAGCACACGUGUUGGUACAAAAUCCUAAGAAAUUGGAACAUCGUUCAAAAUUAUGCUUUUUCAUAGGUUAUCCAAAAGAAUCAAGAGGUGGUUUGUUUUAUGAUCCUCAAGAAAAUAAAAUAUUUGUGUCAACAAAUGCCACAUUCUUAGAGGAAGACCACAUCAGGGAUCAUCAACCUCGUAGUAAACUAGUAUUAAAAGAAAUUUCCAAAAGUGCUAUAGAUAAACCUAGUUCAUCCACUAAGGUAGUUGAUAAGACUAGGAAAUCUGGUCAAUCACAUCCUUCUCAACAGUUGAGAGAGCCUCGACGUAGUGGGAGGGUUGUUCAUCAGCCUGAUCGCUAUUUGGGUUUAAUUGAAACUCAAGUCGUCAUACCUGACGAUGGCAUAGAGGAUCCAUUAACCUAUAAACAGGCAAUGAAAGAUGUAGAUCGUGACCAAUGGAUCAAAGCCAUGGACCUCGAAAUGGAGUCUAUGUACUUUAAUUCUGUCUGGACUCUAGUAGAUCAACCAAAUGACGUAAAACCUAUUGGUUGUAAAUGGAUCUACAAGAGAAAACGAGACCAUGCCGGUAAAGUACAGACUUUAAGGCUCGACUUGUGGCAAAGGGUUAUACCUAGAGAGAGGGAGUAGACUAUGAGGAAACUUUCUCUCCGUUGCCAUGUUAAAGUCAAUUAGAAUACUCUUAUCCAUCGCCACUUUUUAUGAUUAUGAAAUUUGGCAGAUGGAUGUCAAGACAGCUUUUUUGAACGGUAAUCUUGAAAGAGUAUCUAUAUGUCUCAACCAGAGGGGUUUAUAAACAAGAUCAAGAACAAAAGGUUUGUAAGCUUAAAAAAUCCAUUUAUGGAUUAAAACAAGCUUCUAGAUCCUGGAAUAUAAGAUUUGAUAUUGCGAUCAAAUCUUAUGGCUUUGAACAAAAUGUUGACGAGCCUUGUGUUUACAAAAGGUCGUCAAUUCCAUUAUAGCAUUUUUAGUCUUAUAUGUAGAUGAUAUUCUACUUAUUGGAAAUGACGUAGGAUAUCUUACUGAUAUCAAGAAAUGGCUAGCUAUGCAAUUUCAAAUGAAAGAUCUGGGAGAUGCACAAUACGUUCUCGGAAUCCAAAUUGUUCGAAACCGUAAGAACAAAACACUAGCCAUGUCUCAAGCAUCUUACAUAGACAAAAUGUUGUCUAGAUAUAAAAUGCAGAAUUCCAAAAAGGGUCUGCUGCCGUACAGAUAUGGAAUUCAUUUGUCAAAGGAACAAUGUCCUAAGACACCUCAAGAAGUUGAGGAUAUGAGAAAUAUUCCCUAUGCUUCCGCUGUUGGAAGUUUAAUGUAUGCAAUGUUAUGUACUAGACCUGACAUUUGCUACUCAGUAGGGAUGGUCAGUAGGUAUCAAUCCAAUCAUGGACGUGAUCACUGGACAGCCGUUAAAAACAUUCUUACUUCUACAUGCUCAUGUAUCGUACAAAGGAUCUGAUCCUUACUGGAUACACUGAUUCAGAUUUCCAAACUGAUAAAGAUGUUAGAAAGUCUACAUCAGGAUCAGUAUUUACUCUAAAUGGAGGAGCAGUAGUUUGGAGAAGCAUAAAGCAAACUUGUAUAGCUGAUUCCACAAUGGAAGCUGAUCAUUUUACAAAAGCCCUCAUGGCUAAAGUGUUUGAGGGUCACCUACACAGUUUAGGUCUACGAUGUUUGUAAACUAGGACAAGUGGGAGACUUAUUGGCCAUGUGCCCUAGUUUCAUAUAUAUUCUCUCACACCACAUCUCUCAUACCACUAGGAAUUUUAGUCCAAGUGGGAGUUUGUUGGAAUUUUUUGUCCUAAAACUCGUAGUUUGUAAAUCAUAUUCUGUUCAAUAAAGUUGUUAUUGAGAAAUUAAAUAUUAUAAUCUUAAAUCCAAUAAAUCAAGUUCCAAGGCUAUUUUUUGAAUAAACUUGAACUUUAUGUGUAAACAUAAACGUGGAUCAAGUUCGAGUAUAUAGCCUAAAUAGUCUAUAGUAUAUGAAAUAAAGGUUGGGCGCCUUAUUUAGAGAAACUAUGGAUGCGGCCCACUUUGUAGUACAAACGAGUGAUCCUAAUCGUUCAUGUAGAGACAUGAAAGUGGGGGCAUCCUAUGUAAAAUGUUUACAUAAGACUGAACCAUGAAUUAGUUUUUUACGUUAUAACACCGUUUACUGUUUAAAACUGACUAUCUCAAUUAUUGAUGACCUAGGUAACUUAGUCUUAAUCCUGAGUUAACUAUGAACUCCUGUUCACGAGAUUAUCCUUAGAUCUGCAUAGGUGAGGGCAGCUCAUCAGCGUUGGCCCAAUAAGCCUCCCAUUUCAGGGGUAAGAUCGGGUGGAUAGCUGGGAACAUAGGGUACAAGAUGGAAUUCACUCCUACCCGCUUUAGGGUUAGUAGAUAGGUUGCUCUCUUAAGCACUGAAUCCAAGUCUUGAACAAGGGGCCCCACCCUCUCAUUGGCCCGAGAGGGAUUAAGUUUAUAGGUUGAACCUUAAACCAAUUGUUCAAUAGUGGAUUAGUGGGACUUAAGGAGCAAGAUGUAAUCUUGGGGGUAAAACGGUAUUUUGACCCAGCCAAGGUUACGAGCAACCUGUGAAGGAUUAACUUACUGAUUAUGGUUUUAUCAAAUGGACACAAAUAUAUCUAUAGUGAGGGGAGUGCAACUACGGGACUUUAGUGGAAUGACCCGUUAGUUAACGAAUGUUGAUUAACUCGGUUUAAAAGAGUUUAGCUAGUUAAUCUUGAAUCGUUGGAGCCCAUGAUCUAUAGGUCCAUUAGGUUCCUCUGCUAGCUCAUAUGGAUUAAACUUAGAACAGUGUGAUGAAAUAAGUCGAAUUGUUCGAAUUGGGAGAAGAAAGGAAACCGACAUAUACAGUGAUAUAGUCGUCGGUCUUCUAAUUAGAAAUAGAGCUUUAUGUUUUACAUACUAUAAGUAUGAAUGCGGAUUCAUACUAAGAAGCUCGGAAUUGGUCAAAAAAUAGUAAAAAGUCAAAAUGUUGACUUUUGACUUUGAAAAGUCAAACUUUGACCGGCCUUAUAUUCAAAUGUGAUUUGAAUUUUGGAAAAAUGAAUACGGAUUCAUGCUCGGGAGGUUGGAAUUAGUCAAGACGGACAAAAUGGUAAAAAGUCAAAAUAUUGACUCUUGACUAGAAAUAUCUAAUGACCAUUUUACCCUUGGACUAAGUUAGUGGGAAAAUCCAACAUUUUGUUGGAUAAUCCCACUAACUCUUAGUGGGAUAUGUGGCUAUAUGAGAUAUAGACACCUAGCCCACUAAGUUCCACUAAUUGUUAGUGGAACAUUAGGUGUUGAGAUUUGGCAAAUGAAUUGCAUGCAUUUUUGCAUGUAAUUAGGUUAUAAAUAGAGGUGUUUUCAGAUGUUGAAAAAACUUUUGCCUCUUUUAUCAUUUUCAUCAUCUCAACAAAAGAAAAAAAAACCUUUCAAUCCCAUUUUAUCUCCAUUACUUUCUACACCAAAAUUGGGUCCCACAACCCGGUUCUUUGUCUAGAGGAUAGCAGUUGAGUACUAGUGGUGGUCUCGGUUAGAAUUGGUAAGAAGACAUCAAACCUUUUGAAAGCUUCAAAGGUAAUAUUUCUUAAAACCCUAAUUUGAUUAGUUUAUGGUUACAUGUUAAUUGUGGCAAUUAGGGUAGAAAUUCGAUUCUUUUUCCGCUGUGCAUGACUUAGUUCUAU